rnacentral:lncRNA from 1 species
UCGUCGACAAUUCCUGCUAGGAAGGCAUAUACUCCACCGAAGCAACCUCACUACAACCAAGACAAGACACCAGAGUUCAUCAUCAAGCUCCUCCAAAUUGUAGUUCCCCUGCUAAUCUUGGGCUUGGCUGUUGGUAUCCGCUUCUAUACUAAAUCAGCUGAAGCAUAAGAACUGAAACAAGAACCAUGAAUCAAAAAGAUGAUCAAAAUAAGUUGUGUUAGUUAUCCUUGUACCUUUGGGGAUCUGAGGACAUCUGGGUUGUGAUGAAUAUGUGGUUGUAAAAUUUCACAUUUUCUUCUUUUAUUUCUUAUGCCAUUGGAAAACAUUGAUUGAUUUUGAAAACACGACUCUGAGAACAAUCUGCUCAUCUCCU